UACGUAGGUGGCAAGCGUUAUCCGGAAUUAUUGGGCGUAAAGCGCGCGUAGGCGGUUUUUUAAGUCUGAUGUGAAAGCCCACGGCUCAACCGUGGAGGGUCAUUGGAAACUGGGAAACUUGAGUGCAGAAGAGGAAAGUGGAAUUCCAUGUGUAGCGGUGAAAUGCGCAGAGAUAUGGAGGAACACCAGUGGCGAAGGCGACUUUCUGGUCUGUAACUGACGCUGAUGUGCGAAAGCGUGGGGAUCAAACAGG
rnacentral:rRNA from 1 species